CAGGCCAGUCACCAAAAGGGAACAUCGACAGGCACGUACCUCGCCAGACGCGUCUCUCUCCACCUGCAGGAUGAUUUCCAUGGCACGGCCCUCCUCAGGUGUUGAAGUCUGACGGAUUGGAGAAUCAGAUGGUAGUCGCUGGAGAGGCAAGGAACUCCCAUGCUUGCAGCGAUGCACUUGGAUUGAUACGAACUCAGAAUACAAAUUUUGGGACAACUAUUAACAUUGAAAGAGAAUGAAUGUGAAGACAAUAUGUGUGCUGGUGUCCUGGGAUUCAGCAGUUGUAUCAGGAAAACCAAAGUAAAACAGGUACUCAGAUUUUUCUUAUUCUACAUUUUCCAGAUAUAGCAAAGGUUGUACCACAGAAAGUAUCAUUAAAGGUUGUAUAAUAUGCAAUGACGAUAUGCUCCAUUAUAUCCAGGUAAUUAAAGGUUGUAUAGCAAAAGCAUGUUUAAAAAUUUAAAUUACCAUGGCACAUUUAAUUCUUUUGGAGUACUAAACAAUCAUGCGGCUCUCUACAGAUUUCUAAAUUCAUGGUAGGACCACAGGAGAAUACUACUUUUUUGUGGGGGGGAGAUAAUUGUUGAAUAGAUAGCGUCGAUACCUUGCAAAGUUUCGCAGAGAACAAGCUAUAUGUGGAUUUCUUCCA